rnacentral:ncRNA from 1 species
AAUUAUUCGUGAAGAUGCGGAGUACUAACGGCUAGACGGUAAGACCCCGUGUACCUUAACUAUAUCUUCGCAGUGACAACCUUAAUCGAAUGUGUAGGAUAGGUAGGAGGUGGUGACACAUAACGACCAAUCCUAAAAGACCACUCUUUCUUCUAAGGAUACUUAACCGCUGCAUCGAUCAUUCGGGGGGAGGUGGGAUACUGCGAAAUGGGUAGUUUAUCUAGGGCGGAUGCCUCCUAAAGAGUAACGGAGGUAUGCGAAGGUACGCUCAAGCUAAGAUUCUGCUCAUGAGCGUAAUGGUAAAAGCCUGCCUCACUGUGAGACCGGCUGGUCGAAUAGAGAUGAAAGUUGGCCAUAGUGAUUCGAGAGUCCCAUGUGAAAGGGCUCUCGCUUAACGGAUCAAAGGUACGCAGGGGAUAACAGGUUGAUGACUCCUAAGAGCUCUUAUCGACAGAGUCGUUUGGCACCUCGAUGUCAACUCAUUAUAUCCUAGGGUUGAAGAAGGUCUCAAGGGUUCGAUUGUUUGCCGAUUCAAGUGGUAUGUGAUUUGGGUUUAGAAAGUUGUGAGACAAUUCAGUUCCUAUCUACCGUUGGUGUUAAAGGGAGAACUACGAGGAGCCAAUCCUAGUACGAGAAGACAGGGUUGGGCUAACCUAUGGUGUACCAGUUUUUAUGCCAAUAGCAGCGCCGGACAGCUAAGUUGGUAUGGAAGAACUGUUGCGCAAUGGGAAAUCCUUCUAUAUACAAGUUCUCGGAUGAGGUUUUUAAAAAGAACUUCGAUAUACGAUAGGUGUAAGCACCGCGAGGGUUGAAGCAAUCUCGUACUAAACGA